rnacentral:rRNA from 1 species
AUUGAACGCUGGCGGCAUGCCUUACACAUGCAAGUCGAACGGUAACGCGGGGCAACCUGGCGACGAGUGGCGAACGGGUGAGUAAUGCAUCGGAACGUGCCUGGUAGUGGGGGAUAACUGCUCGAAAGAGCAGCUAAUACCGCAUACGACCUGAGGGUGAAAGGGGGGGAUCGCAAGACCUCUCGCUAUCAGAGCGGCUGAUGUCGGAUUAGCUAGUUGGUGGGGUAAAGGCCCACCAAGGCGACGAUCCGUAGCUGGUCUGAGAGGACGACCAGCCACACUGGGACUGAGACACGGCCCAGACUCCUACGGGAGGCAGCAGUGGGGAAUUUUGGACAAUGGACGCAAGUCUGAUCCAGCCAUGCCGCGUGCGGGAAGAAGGCCUUCGGGUUGUAAACCGCUUUUGUCAGGGAAGAAAUCUUCUGGGUUAAUACCUCGGGAGGAUGACGGUACCUGAAGAAUAAGCACCGGCUAACUACGUGCCAGCCGCCGCCGUAACAC